GUACUGCAGAAGGGUCAUUUGGUCAUCGAGGUGUAAGUUUCUGAAACCUGGUAUUGCCUUUGCCCACUUGACCGCAGCUACCACUUGCCGUCCUCCUAACAUGUUGAGGGUUGACAUGAUGCGCCAGCUGGAGUCAGGCAGCGUGCUGUCAUAGCCUGAGUACAGCACCUCCGGCUCGAUCACCUCCAGCAGUGACACCAGGGUGGGUGUGAGCUGCGGCAGCGACGCGGGAACCACGCUCUUAUUUCCAGCAGCUUCGGCAGCUUCCCUCGUGCCCGUGGCAGUGGUCUGCUGAAUGCCUUUUAUCUUCUUCUUCGUCUUGCGAGCUUCGAGGUUCAUGCCUGCCUGGAGACAUUUCCGAUAGCGGCACGCCGGGCAGUUCUUCCGCCGAAUUUUGUCAAUAAUGCAAUCGUUCCUUCCAGCGCAGAGAUAG
rnacentral:lncRNA from 1 species